CUUGGUCAUUUAGAGGAAGUAAAAGUCGUAACAAGGUCUCCGUUGGUGAAUCAGCGGAGGGAUCAUUACAGAGUUGCAAAACUCCCAAACCAUUGUGAACGUUACCUAAACCGUUGCUUCGGCGGGCGGCCCGGGUCCUUCCCGGCGCCCCUCGGCCCUCGCGGGCGCCCGCCGGAGGUAAACCAAACUAUUGCAUUGUAUGGCCUCUCUGAGUCUUCUGUACUGAAUAAGUCAGAACUUUCAACAACGGAUCUCUUGGUUCUGGCAUCGAUGAAGAACGCAGCGAAAUGCGAUAAGUAAUGUGAAUUGCAGAAUUCAGUGAAUCAUCGAAUCUUUGAACGCACAUUGCGCCCGCCAGUAUUCUGGCGGGCAUGCCUGUUCGAGCGUCAUUUCAACCAUCAAGCCCCCGGCUUGUGUUGGGGACCUGCGGCUGCCGCAGGCCCUGAAAAGCAGUGGCGGGCUCGCUGUCACACCGAGCGUAGUAGCAUACAUCUCGCUCUGGGCGUGCUGCGGGUUCCGGCCGUAAAACCACCUUCAUAACCCAAGGUCGACCUCGGAUCAGGUAGGAAGACCCGCUGAACUUAAGCAUAUCAAUAAGCGGAGGA
rnacentral:misc_RNA from 1 species